rnacentral:rRNA from 1 species
AUUGAACGCUGGCGGCAGGCCUAACACAUGCAAGUCGAGCGAGCGGCGGACGGGUGAGUAAUGUAUGGGGACUGCCCGAUAGAGGGGGAUAACUACUGGAAACGGUGGCUAAUACCGCAUACUAUCGGAUAACCCAUAUGGGAUUAGCUAGUAGGUGGGGUAAAGGCUCACCUAGGCGACGAUCUCUAGCUGGUCUGAGAGGAUGAUCAGACACAGUGUGAGUGAGAAACGGCCCGUGCGCCUACGGAGGCAGCAGUGGGUAAUAUUGGAAAAUGGGUGCAAGCUGGAUGCAGCCAUGCCGCGUGGAUGAAGAAGGCAUUAGGGUUGUAAAGUACUUUCAGCGUGGAGGUGUUACCCGCAGAAGAAGCACCGGCUAACUCCGUGCCAGCAGCCGCGGUAAUUC